GAUGAACGCUGGCGGCGUGCCUAAUACAUGCAAGUCGAGCGAACGGACGAGAAGCUUGCUUCUCUGAUGUUAGCGGCGGACGGGUGAGUAACACGUGGAUAACCUACCUAUAAGACUGGGAUAACUUCGGGAAACCGGAGCUAAUACCGGAUGAUAUUUUGAACCGCAUGGUUCAAAAGUGAAAGACGGUCUUGCUGUCACUUAUAGAUGGAUCCGCGCUGCAUUAGCUAGUUGGUAAGGUAACGGCUUACCAAGGCAACGAUGCAUAGCCGACCUGAGAGGGUGAUCGGGCCCACCUGAACCGAGAAACGGUCCCGACUCCUACGGGAGGCAGCAGUAGGGAAUCUUCCGCAAUGGGCGAAAGCCUGACGGAGCAACGCCGCGUGAGUGAUGAAGGUCUUCGGAUCGUAAAACUCUGUUAUUAGGGAAGAACAUAUGUGUAAGUAACUGUGCACAUCUUGACGGUACCUAAUCAGAAAGCCACGGCUAACUACGUG
rnacentral:rRNA from 1 species